AUGAAUAGAAGACUGAGAUCGCUUACCUGCCCUCCCAUAGUAACACUGCUGUCCAUUAAAGCAGCAGUUCAUAGCUUCACACUCAGCACCACUGAUCCCAGGUUGUCCACAUUGGAUCUGCUCAUAAUCAGCUACAGCACAUCUAUCAAGGGGCUCUGCCUGCACCACUGGCUUCUGAAGAAACUGCUGGCUAGUUUGUUGAACUGGCUUCUGAAACUGAAACUGCUGGCUAGCUUGUUGAACUGGCUUCUGAAACUGAAACUGCUGGCUAGUUUGUUGAACUGGCUUCUGCAUCUGAAACUGCUGGCUAGUUUGUUGAACUGGCUUCUGCGGCUGAAACUGCUGGCUAGUUUGAUGAACUGGCUUCUGCAGCUGAAACUGCUGGUCAGUUUGCUGGAUCAUCAGGGCUUGAAGGUUCUGAGGCAGAUCACUCCACCAUGGAACUGCAUGACAGAAAGCACAAACUGCCAAAAUCUGAACCAAACACCAACUUCCAGCCAUUGUCCAACAGCUAAACACAAAGUAGAGAUGCCGGCCUUUUGUCUUUUAUACUCUACAGGUUUCAACUAAUUAAAGAUAGUCCCUCCCCCUUCAUUAACCCUCACGAUUCUCCAGACUUGCAUGAGUUGGAUCUUAUGCAACUGAGUGAUUCUCAUUGAUUCAAUUAUCCUUGUUACAUACAUUAAAACAAACUUAAGCAUAAUUCAAAAUAGCAUACUAGUAUAUAUUUCUUCCCUUUUUUAAUUCAGCCUUGGUUUUAUCCUUCAUUAGCUGAAUCCAAUUGUUGACGUCUUGACAAUUCUGGAUUUUUUCAUUCUUAGAAAAACAUCAUGGAAUGUACAGGCCUGUAUCUAUAGACUGGCUCAGAAGAAAGUUAAUUUAACAUACUCAUGAUUACGUUGAAGCUUUGAGUGAUACUUGAACACUGUCCCAGCCAUAGGUGCUCUAUUCUUGCUUUUAAAAUUUUGCACACACUUCAAUAUCAAUAUCCUUCAGUUAGAGGUGGAAAGUAACUAAUUACAAUUACUUUUGUUACAGUACUUGAGUACAUUUUAAAAAAAUUUCUACUUUCUUGAGUAUAAUUAAAUUGUGGUAUUUUUACUUUUACUUGAGUAAAAUAAAAGAAAGUAUUCGAAUUCGCUACAUUUACAUGUCACCGAAAAUAUUUAUGUAUAUAAAACAGACAAAGGAGUCGCCGAUGGAGAAACAGAGCGAACCUGUGUUUGAUGGGCACUUUUCAUACUUCUGGGGUGGAGCCCUGGACUUCAGCCAAUUACGGACAGGUCUGACUCGGGUGCAAAACCAAUCAAAACCUCCAGUUCAGCUGGGGGCGUUCAAACCACGCUAUGCUUUGACUGUCAAUCAGCAGCGUUGUAGUUUUGAAUCAGCAUCAUUAACGACUCAUUGUUGCCAACUUAGCAAUUUUGUUGCUAAAUUUAGCAACUUUUCACACUACCCUAGCAACAUUUUCUUCCAAAAGCACCUAGCAACAAAUUUAGAUAUUUUUAAAAUGUAUUUGGCAACUUUUAGCAACUUUUGACAAGUGACUCAAAUGAUAAAAAGGCACACAUUUUCCAUCUAAAUUACACAAAAUGAGGAAACCAUAGAUGCCUAGCGGUACACAUAUCACGUGAAUUAAGUUAGCUGCUAUUAGCAAUUGCUCAAUUUAAUAAUAAUAAUUUAAUUGUUUAUUUAAUUGUUAAUUUAUGAUACACCUUGUUAGAAGCUUGUACCUGCGAUUGUUGAUCAGUUAGUACACUGUAAGAAAAAUAUCUAGAAAAAUGGAAAAGGUACUAGUAAUUUUCCAGGACAUUAUCUGUUAUCCAUUAUCCAUAAUCCAUUGUAACCCUGUAACCCGAAAACACAAAAUACAAUGUGUAAUUUAAAAUGCAGGUAAAAAACCUGUAAAAAAUCAACACGGAAAAUUCAACUUGGAUAUAACAAUUAUAUUAUACUAUAUUAUAAUAUAUUAUAUUACAUUCAUACGUAUAAUAUUAUACUUUACAUAGUAAUAUACAAUAUACUUUAUACAAAAAUAUAUUAUAGUAUAUAAUAUCUAUACAGAGACGUUAUUUCCGGGUCCAAUAAAUUGUUUUUUGUGCACGUCAGUAAGUCAUUGACAGAUUUUUUCCUCUGAAGCAUAUUUCCUACAUUACUACUUUUAUUCUUUUUUUUGCUUUUCAGUCAUUCAAUUUAGAUGUGUAUUUCUAUUUUUUCUGCCCCUUUUUAUUAUUUCAUUUAUAAAUUCAUAUAAAAAAAACUGAGUAAUAAAGUGUGCAAUAAAGUACAAUCAAAACUUUAUAAUAUAAUCACAUUGCACUUGAAUAAAGUUAAACGUGUUUUCUGCCGACUGUCCUGCAGGUGACUGCAUAAAUCUGUCUUCUUACGAUGCACUUAGGACUUUACGAUAACUCCAGAGCUCUCGUACAGCUACGAUGAUUUUCAAGUGCUAGGCCCUAAUUGUUCAAAAUGUGUAAGUGUUUAAUAAUUCAAUGUUGUAUUUAAAAAUACAGUUAAUUAGAUUUUAAUAUUAUAUUUUGUUAUAUUACUUUAAAGAAUAAAUCUAAAUUAACAUAUAUAAAAUAUUUUUUGCUUACAUUUGAAGUAGUGACAAUUUUGCGUCGUAAUUACGUAAUGAUGUCAUCGUGCAAUGACAUUAUAAUGUCAUUUAGUAACUUUUAGCAAAACAUUGACCUUCCUUUAGCAACUUCCUCUGAAAAUUAGUUGGCAACACUGAUUAGCAUUUCAGUAUUGAAGUGAAUGUGAGUUA
ensembl:lncRNA